CAAUUUUCUGAAAAUCCCAAAAAAGAUUCUUUUUUCUCUCAAAAUCCAGUGGUCACAACUUUUUCCUAUACGUAUAUUCUCAAGCUCAGAAGUGCUUCUAUUCAUAUUGAUCAACUACGAAUUAGGACAGCAACACAGGUCAACUGAAUGUAUUCUCAACAUCAAAUCCUCUAAUCGUAUUCUUUGCAGCAACGUUCUCUCUACUACGAAUAUAUGCGACCUAGAGUUAUGAAGCUGUGCCUCAAAUCCGCUGUUCAAAGUCUCAGCAAAAACAUAUUUAUUUCAUUUUCCCAACUGAGAAUUUAAGAUUUUUCUUAUGUUUUGCAGCUUUUGUGGAUAUUUCUAGAUAACGCAUGGAGAAGUUAACUACUUUUGGGGUUGAAGUUCAAGUCAAGAUACAAGCUUAGAAGAAAUGCACAAGUUUGUUAUUAGUUUGCUAUGAAUGUCAUGCAAAACUCGAUAGUGUAUAGUUUAAAUCGGAUGUUGGCUAAGUUUAUCAAUGAACAUGUUGAAAAAAACAUCAUGGGUUGUUGACCAAUUUAUUGAACUCUUUA